GACGAACGCUGGCGGCGUGCUUAACACAUGCAAGUCGAACGGAAAGGCCUCUUUCGGGGGGUACUCGAGUGGCGAACGGGUGAGUAACACGUGAGUAACCUGCCCUUCACUUUGGGAUAACUUCAGUAAACUGGGGCUAAUACCGGAUAGGAGCUCCUGCUGCAUGGUGGGGGCUGUAAAGUUUCGGCGGUUGGGGAUGGACUCGCGGCUUAUCAGCUUGUUGGUGGGGUAUUGGCUUACCAAGGCUUUGACGGGUAGCCGGCCUGAGGGGGUGACCGGCCACAUUGAGACUGAGAGACGGCCCAGACUCCUACGGGAGGGAGAAGUGGGGAAUAUUGCACAAGGGGUGGAGGCCUGAUGCAGCAACGCCGUGUGCGGGAUGACGGCGUUCGGGUUGGAAACCGAUUGCGCUCAUGACGAAGCUUUGUGUGACGGUAGUGGGUAAAGAAGCACCGGCUAACUACGUG
rnacentral:rRNA from 1 species